GGCGGCGGCGGGACAGAGCCCUGAGCGAGCGAGGGGACGGGACAGGCCGGGAGCUCCCUGGAAUCCUUCCCGCGCUAAAAAUGGGAUUCCUUCUCCCCUCCCAUGUCAAAAUCUCUUCCCUAUUUGUACAGGAUAUACUCCAAUGCAAAAUUAUACAAGAACAAUUCAACCAGCCAAUCAAAGGAAACAUGAAACUGAAGACAAACUUUAACUAAGGGUCUAAUCCUGGAAGUUGCUUAACAUCCUCUGACUGGAUUACAGUUAGUGUUCUAAAAACAAAAUGCUUUGUUUGGAUCUGCAAACACUGCCAUUAGGAUAGCAGAACAUAAAUACCAAUACUGAAGUAGGAUCUUGCUCUACAAAGGGAAAUGAACUGAUGUAAAUUGUUCUUUAUAACAUGCAAUAAAAAGUGUUCUAUAUUUUGAA